UUCAAGCAGGCCGUCCAGCUCGCUGCCCUCGUCCCCUGAGGAGCAGAAUUGGCCUCAGACAGGCUCUAGUACAGGGGUCACCAACACAAUGCCCGCGGGCACCACGGCGCCCGCAAGGACCACAUGAGGCGCCCGCAGGCCUGUUCUAAAAAUAGCACUACUCAUUCUUGAACAACUCUUUCCCACCUUUUUUAAGUCAUUGUUGAUAAUUAUUGUGAGAAAUCAUUAACAUGACUUCAUUAAUCAACAUGUCUUCACAUAGAUGAGUAUCAUUGAUAGUAAUAUAUAACUAAAGGCAAACUGAGCAAAUUUGUUAUUUCAGAAGAGUGUAUAGAACUGGGUGCCCUUAGUAUGACUCAGUACCCAUGAAGUAGCUCUCAGGUUCAAAAAGGUUGGUGACCCCUGCUCUAGUGGAACCUAGAACUGGCCUCAGACAAGCUCUGGUGGAACCUAGAACCGGCCUCAGACAGGCUCUAGUGCAGGCAUCUCCAAACGGCGGACCGCGGUUCGGGUCUGGACCAAGUGACGUUCCUAUCCGGACCCAUGACCAAUUUAAAAUAAUACGAUUUUUAUGAUUUCACUAUACAAAGCAUGAUUACGUUAGUAAAAUAAUUUCUCACUGAAAUACAAAUUGAAAGGCAGAAUAGUCUGUAGUGCAGCAUAAAAACAGCAAAAAGCAAUGAUCUUCACAGAGCGAAGAUCAUGCACUCACUGAACUCCCCCCCUCCCUCCGUCUGUCACGGCAAGUGCGUGAUAGCUUGACCCCGAAAACAGACAUUUUAAAGAUGAAUGGACUGACCAAUACUUGUUCAUUCUCCCGCAAGGCGGUACAAAACCUUUGUUGUGUCUUUCAUGUGUUGAAACCGUGGCGCUGAUAAAAAGGGGGAAUAUUAAGCGGCGUUACGAAUCCAAACACAGAUCCUUCGAGGAAAAGUAUCCCCAGAAGUCAGAAGUAAGAGCGUGGAAAAUAUCCGAGCUGAGAGCUCAGUAUGAGAGGUCUACGCGUGUCUUCACACACUCAUUUACAGGCCAGCAACGUGCAAAUGAAUGCUCACUUAAGAUUGGAUGGAUUUUGGGGCAACAUAAAAAAAACCUCAGUGACACGACUGUUGUGAAUGAGUGCUUGAACGCCGCUGUCGAGACGUUACUUGAAGGUAAACAAAGGGAUGAAUUGUGUGAAAAAAUAAAGCAAAUCCCAAUGUGAGGUGCAACGACAACCAGAAAAUCUGAAAUGUCAUCAGAUGACGCAGUGUCACAGCUUCAUACGGCUGUUCAGAGUGCCCCAUCCAUAGCCAUUGAUGAGUCUUCAGAUGUAACGGAUAAUGCCCAGCUUUUGGUUUAUGUGCGAUUGUUUCAUCAAGACAAGAAAGAGAUCUGUGAGGACCUGUUGGGUCUAACACCACUUGAGACACUGUUUUGCUUACUUGAAAUGAAGGCCUAGUGCUCUUUUUGUGUUUAUUUGAAAUGUAGGUCUGGUGUACCUGUUUUGCUUACUUGAAAUGUAGGCCUAAUGCACUUUGUGUAUAUUUGUAGUGUAGGCCUAGUGUUCCUGUUCUGCUUAGUUCACAUGAAGGCCUUAUGCACUUUUAAUGUUUACUUGAAUUGCAGGCCUAAUGUACCUGUUUUGUUUACUUGAAAUGUUAAUAUGCGUUACUUUGUCUUACAAGUUUUUCAUGGUUAAAAGUAAGCUAUUUGGAAAUUGAAAAUAAAUACAUCUGAAAUUAUAUGGUAAUAUGCCGUGUU